rnacentral:rRNA from 1 species
UGUUUCGGCAAGGGGGUCAUCCCGACUUACCAACCCGAUGCAAACUGCGAAUACCGGAGAAUGUUAUCACGGGAGACACACGGCGGGUGCUAACGUCCGUCGUGAAGAGGGAAACAACCCAGACCGCCAGCUAAGGUCCCAAAGUCAUGGUUAAGUGGGAAACGAUGUGGGAAGGCCCAGACAGCCAGGAUGUUGGCUUAGAAGCAGCCAUCAUUUAAAGAAAGCGUAAUAGCUCACUGGUCGAGUCGGCCUGCGCGGAAGAUGUAACGGGGCUAAACCAUGCACCGAAGCUGCGGCAGCGACGCUUAUGCGUUGUUGGGUAGGGGAGCGUUCUGUAAGCCUGUGAAGGUGUGCUGUGAGGCAUGCUGGAGGUAUCAGAAGUGCGAAUGCUGACAUAAGUAACGAUAAAGCGGGUGAAAAGCCCGCUCGCCGGAAGACCAAGGGUUCCUGUCCAACGUUAAUCGGGGCAGGGUGAGUCGACCCCUAAGGCGAGGCCGAAAGGCGUAGUCGAUGGGAAACAGGUUAAUAUUCCUGUACUUGGUGUUACUGCGAAGGGGGGACGGAGAAGGCUAUGUUGGCCGGGCGACGGUUGUCCCGGUUUAAGCGUGUAGGCUGGUUUUCCAGGCAAAUCCGGAAAAUCAAGGCUGAGGCGUGAUGACGAGGCACUACGGUGCUGAAGCAACAAAUGCCCUGCUUCCAGGAAAAGCCUCUAAGCAUCAGGUAACAUCAAAUCGUACCCCAAACCGACACAGGUGGUCAGGUAGAGAAUACCAAGGCGCUUGAGAGAACUCGGGUGAAGGAACUAGGCAAAAUGGUGCCGUAACUUCGGGAGAAGGCACGCUGAUAUGUAGGUGAAGCGACUUGCUCGUGGAGCUGAAAUCAGUCGAAGAUACCAGCUGGCUGCAACUGUUUAUUAAAAACACAGCACUGUGCAAACACGAAAGUGGACGUAUACGGUGUGACGCCUGCCCGGUGC